rnacentral:rRNA from 1 species
GUAGUCAUAUGCUUGUCUCAAAGAUUAAGCCAUGCAUGUCUAAGUACACACUUUGGUAAAGUGAAACCGCGAAUGGCUCAUUAAAUCAGCUACAAUUUAUUAGAUCGUACACUGUUACUUGGAUAACUGUGGGAAUUCUAGAGCUAAUACAUGCCGAGAGUCUCUGCUCUUCGGGGCAGAGCGCAGUUAUUAAACCAAAACCAGCCGUACUCUUCGGGGUACGCUCUUUUGGUGACUCUGGAUAACCUUCAGCCGAUCGCAUGGCCUCGUGCCGGCGACGUAUCUUUCAAGUGUCUGCCCUAUCAACUUUCGAUGGUACGUGAUAUGCCUACCAUGGUGAUAACGGGUAACGGGGAAUCAGGGUUCGAUUCCGGAGAGGGAGCCUGAGAAAUGACUACCACAUCCAAGGAUGGCAGCAGGCGCGCAAAUUACCCACUCCCAGCUUGGGGAGGUAGUGACGAAAAAUAACAAUGCGGGACUCUAAGAGGCCCCGUAAUUGGAAUGAGUACACCUUAAAUCGUUUAACGAGUAUCAAUUGGAGGGCAAGUCUGGUGCCAGCAGCCGCGGUAAUUCCAGCUCCAAUAGCGUAUAUUAAAGUUGCUGCAGUUAAAAAGCUCGUAGUUGGAUCUGGGGCUUGAGGUCGCUGUCUAUCGUUUCGGCGAUGACGGUGAUGCUCAGCUCUGCUUGCCGGUGACUGUUGCGGUGUUCUUCACUGAGCGCUGUAGCAGCACGGCACGUUUACCUUGAAAAAAUUAGAGUGCUCAAAGCGUGCUUGUCGCUUGAAUAAUGUUGCAUGGAAUAAUGGAAUAGGACCUCGGUUCUAUUUUGUUGGUUUUCGGAGCUUGAGGUAAUGAUUAAGAGGGACGAACGGGGGCAUUCGUAUUGCGGUGUUAGAGGUGAAAUUCUUGGAUCGCCGCAAGACGGACUACUGCGAAAGCAUUUGCCAAGAACGCUUUCAUUAAUUAAGAACGAAAGUCAGAGGUUCGAAGACGAUCAGACACCGUCCUAGUUCUGACCAUAAACGAUGCCGACCAGCGAUCCGUAGUGGUUGCUUUAUAGACCCUACGGGCAGCCUCCGGGAAACCAAAGUAUUUGGGUUCCGGGGGAAGUAUGGUUGCAAAGCUGAAACUUAAAGGAAUUGACGGAAGGGCACACCAGGAGUGGAGCCUGCGGCUUAAUUUGACCCAACACGGGAAAACUCACCCGGUCCGGACACCGUAAGGAUUGACAGACUGAUCUCUUUCUUGAUUCGGUGGAUGGUGGUGCAUGGCCGUUCUUAGUUGGUGGAGUGAUUUGUCUGGUUAAUUCCGAUAACGAACGAGACUCUAGCCUGCUAAGUAGUGUUGCUAUUGUUAUAUGGUUGACACUUCUUAGAGGGACAAGUGGCAUUUAGCCACGCGAAAUUGAGCAAUAACAGGUCUGUGAUGCCCUUAGAUGUCCGGGGCCGCACGCGCGCUACACUGGAGAAGUCAGCGUGUGUUAUCCAAGUCCGAAAGGACUGGGUAAUCCGUUGAACCUUCUUCGUGCUUGGAACUGUGGCUUGGAACUAUUCCACAUGAACGAGGAAUUCCUAGUAAUUGCAAGUCAUAAGCUUGCGUUGAUUACGUCCCUGCCCUUUGUACACACCGCCCGUCGCUACUACCGAUUGAAUGGUUUAGCAAGGUCCUCGGAUCGUGGCCGUAGGGGCACGCAAGUGUUUCUGCGGUUUGCGAGAAGACGACCAAACUUGAUCAUUUAGAGGAAGUAAAAGUCGUAACAAGGUU